UUCACUUAGCAUAAUGUUUUCAAGGUUCAUCUGUGUUGUAACAUGUGUCAGUCCCAUUUUAUGGUCAAAUACUCCUCUACUGUGUGAAUGGACAUAUCACAUUUUAUUUCAUCCAUUAAUCAGUUAAUGGAUAUUUGGGUUAUUUCCCCUUUCAGGUUAUUAUGAAUAAUACUGUUGUGAACAUUCACACACAAAUUUUUGUGUGGACAUGCAUUUCAUUUAUUUUGGACAUAUACCUAGGAAUGGAAUUGUUGGAUCAUAUGCUAAAACUAUGUUUACUAUUUUGAUAAACUGCCAGACUGUUUUCCAGAGUGGCUGCACCAUUUUACAUUCCAACCUGCAAUGUAUCAGGGUUGCAAUUUCUCCAUAUUGUGGACACUUGUUAUUGUCAUCUUAUUUAUGAUAGUGAUCCUAAUGGGUGUGAACUGGUAUCUUAUUAUGUUGUUGAUUUGCAUAACUAAUGAUGUUAAGCUUCUUUUCAUGUGCUUACUGGCCAUUUAUAUAUCUUCUCUGACUAAAUGUUUAUUCAAAUCCUUUGCCCAUUUAAAAAAUAGCAUUUGUCUUAUUACUGAGUUGUAAGAGUUCUUUAAAUAUUGUAGAUACAAAUCCUUUAGCAGAUCCAAGAUUUACAAAUAUAUCCAUUCUGUGGUUUGCCUUUUCUUCAUCAUUUUCUUGAUGGUGUUGUUUGAAGUACAAAAGUUUUAAAUUUUGGUAAAGUACAAUUUAUUAAUUUUUUUAUCACAUGAAUUUGAUGUUGUAUCUCAGAAAUUAUUGCUUAACUCAAUGUACUGUUUUCUCCCAAGAUUUCUAUAGUUUUAGCUCUUACAUAUAGGUUUUUGAGCCAUUUUGAUCCAAUUUUUGAUAUAAUAUGAGGAAAGGCUCCAAACUCCUUCCUUUGCACGAGGAUGUCCAGGUGCCCUGGUAUCAAUUGUUGAAAAGACUCUUCUUUCCUCAGUGACUUGUGUUCUCACGGAGGCUUGCUCUUUACACCUGGGUGUCUGAAGAAUGGUUUAUCCUGAAAGCUCGGAAACUGAAGCAGACUGUACAUUCCCAGGAGGCAGAGACCGUCUCACUCAUCUUUCUACAGUGUCGCGCGGCACUUAGUAAAGAGUUGUUCAGUUCAAUUCAUGACCGGCUCAGUCACUAAGCCCACUCUGUCACUCCUUCCUGUGAUGAUUUCCUUCUCUAAACCCUGAGACCACUUUGAUUUUAUACCCCUGAUUUAUCACUUAGCACAUGCUGCUGUCUGUUGCUUCCUUUCUUUUUUAUGUACACAGUCUACAAUAAAAGAGCCAGAAAAGUACACAGCAUGCUUUGCUCUCUGUUGUCAGACUUAGCCGUGGGCCCUGCUCACAUCAGAAACUCAAGACAUGAUGACGAUGUCAGAAAAGCAAGCAGUGUGUUUUCCAAAAUGCAGUUCUGUUACACACUUAAGAAAAACUCACUCUUCUAUCCACUUGUGGUAGGCAGAAGUCUAAGACGGCCCUCACGAUGCCUGUCCCCUCACGUACAUGACCUCUAUAAUCUAUACCCCUUCCGUGGGCGGGGGAACUUGUGAAUAUAAUGGGAUUUCACUUCCAUGCUUUGGUUUCAUUAUAUGGUAAAGCUGAAGGGAUUUUGCAGAUGUAAUUAGGGUCUCUAAUUAGUCAACUUUAAGUUAAAAGGGAGAUCACCCUAGGUGGUCCUGACCUAAUCAGGUGAGCCCCCAAAGAGGCCUUCCCUGAAAGGAGAGAGGUGAAGUCAGAAAUAUACUCCUUUGGGCAAGACAUCAUGAGUUCAGCAGCACAUGAAUCCUGCCAAAAAGCAGAUGAGCCUGGAAGAGGACUCAGACGAGAUCUUAGCCCUGGAUGAUACCAUGAUUGUAGCCUUGUCAGACCUGUGAGACUGGUGAUCAGGCUCCCAGUUAUGCUGUGCUGAGCUCCUGAAUCAUGGAAAUGGAGUGUAUUAGAGUUCUUCAGAGAAACAGAACGAAUAGGAGAUAUGUUUAUAUGUAUAUAUACAUAUAUAUACACACACAUAUAUACACACAUACAUAUACACACAUAUCGAUCUAUAUAUAGACCUAUCUAUCUGGAGAUUAUGGGAACUUGCUCACAUGGUUAUGGAGGCCAAGAAGUUCCAUAAUCUGCUGUCUGCCAGCUGGUGGUCUAAUUCAGUCUGAGUCCAAGGGCCUGAGAACCAGGGGGCUGCUGGUGGAAGUCCUGGCGUCCAAAGGCUCGAAAUCCAGGAGCUCUGAUGUCCAAGGGCAGGAGAAGAUGGACAGCCCUGGGCAAGAAGAGAGCAAAUUUGCCCUUCUUUCACCUUUUUGUUCCAUUUGGGCCCUCAAUGGACUGGAUGAUGUCUGCCCACAUUGGUGAGGGAGAUCUCUUUACUCAGUCUCCUGAAUCAAAUGCUAAUCCCUUCCAGAAACAUCCUCACAGACAUACCCGGAAAUAGCGUUUUACCAGCUCUCUGGGCGUCCCUAGCCCAGUCAAGUUGACACAUAAAAUUAUCACAAGUCCACCCCUUGUCAACUUGACAUAUAUACACAUACAUCUCCUUAAACCACACUCAGUCUCCAGAUAGACACAAUAAUAAGUCAUAAUUCACCUGGACAUGACGUGACUAUCCUGUGUACAACCCCAAAUGCACUGACCCCGUCCCCAGAAGAAGAGGUAACGUCCUUGAGUGAUGUUUACUCUUCUCCUGGUUAUCUUGUAACUUAAAUACUAUGAUGUAGAAUUAACAAUGCUGAAAUAGCAUGAUUUACAGUCAAUAUAUCUUAUAUUACAUGAGAAGAGAAUUAAGGGAAAGAAAACAAAGAUAUUUGCUUAAUAUAUCAAUUAUACACACAAAUGUAUUCGUAACAAAAUAAGGAGGAAAUACUCAUGACAAUUACAGAAACAGGUCAUGUGGUCAUAGCUGGUAUUUAUAACUACCUUCUUCUACUACCCAUUCUGUAUUCACUUUGCCUUCAGCAAGCACCUCAACUGGUUGUGGUUCUUUACCUGGCGGGGUGACUCCACCUUCAUUGCUGAAGGUCUCAGGUUAUGGAUAAUGGAUCCAGCCCAUAUAUACCGUACAGUGGUAAAGAAUGCAUGUGUAUGGAUGUGCAUUGCUAGUUCUGCCUGAAUAGGGCUGUUGUGGUUUUCCACUGACCUUCAUCACAGGGCAUGAUAAUACUAAGAGACACCCUAAGGGAUCUCCUGUGUUCCAGGCAUACUCUUCCUUAUCUCCAUCAUGGAGUAGUAGUCCAAUUCCCCCUUGGUAGUCAGGAUCAAUCACCCCACUAACUCCCUUCCUUACCCAUUGAUUCAGAGGCAUGAGGAACACCAAGUGGCUGGGUGGAAGUCUUAACUUCCAGUUCAAUGGAAUCUUUGUUGUGUCUCCUGGUGGAAGCAUUUCUUCCUUUGCAAUUAAAGCCUCUAGGCCAGGCAGCAUAUAAAGUCAUAGGAAUAGGAAGCAAAAAUAUUGCUAUUGGGUCACUGGGGGUAAUAGUGAGUGGUACUACUCCUGUUUUCACCCCUUGAUUCCUGGACCCAUGAAUCCUGGCUAUCGGAGAAAAGCACCAUAUAUUGGACACUGAUUCAGAGCAUACACAGCCUCUUGAAGAAGCUUGCCCCAGCCCUGCAAGGUACUGACACCUAGCUGGCACUGAAAAGGAGUCUUCAAAAGGCCAUUCCACGAUUCUAUCAAGCCAGCUGCUUCAGGAUGGCGGAGGACAUGGUAAGACCAGUGAAUUCCUUGAGCGCGGGCCACUCGCCACAGUUCUCUUGCUGUGCAGUGAGUUCCUUGAUCUGUAGCAAUGCUGUAUGGAACACCAUGGUGGUGGAUAAGGCAUCCUGUAAGUCCACGGAUGGUAGUUUUGGCAGAAACAUUGUGUGUAGGGAGCGCAAAUCCAUAUCCAGUGUGAGUUUCUAUUCCAGUUGGGAUGAUGGAAGCAGUCUAAUGUAAUCAACCUGCCACCAGGCAGCUGGCUGAUCACCCUGGGGAAUGGUGCCAUACUGGGGGCUCAGCGUUGAUCUCUGCUGCUGCCAGAUUGGGCACUCAGCAGUGGCUGCAGCCAGGUUGGCUUGGAUUGUGGAAGGCCAUGUUGCUGAGCGCAUGUAGAACCUCCAUCCCUGCCACCAUGGCCACUUUGUUCGUGAGCCCGUUGGGUGACAACAGGGGUGGCUGGGGAAAAGGGCUGACCGGUAUCCAUAGAACGGGUCGUUCUAUCCACUUGAUUAUUAAACUCUGCCACUGCUGAGGUCACCCUUUGAUGAGCAUUCACACAGGACACUAAUAUAUUCACGUUUUUUAUCUAGAGACGUCUAUUCAUAUACCUCUUCCUCAAAUUUCUUUGUCACCAAUUUUCCAACCAUAUUCCUUCCAAGUCCCUGACCAUCCAUCCAGUCCUUGGCUGCAGCCGUGAAUCAGCGUAGAAUUGCACAUCUGGCCAUAUCUCCUUCUAAGCAAAUGAGCAAGCAGGUGCACCGUCUGAAGCUCUGCCCACUGGGAGGACUUCCCUUCACCACUGUCCUUCAGGGAUGGCCCAGACAGGAGCUGUAGUGCUGCAGCUGUCCACUUUCCAGCGGGGCCUGCAUGUCAUGCAGAACUGUCUGUAAAGCAGGCCUGAGUCUUUUCUCCCUCUGUCAUCUGAUUGCAGGGAACUCCCCACAAGGCCACAGCUGAGGGCCGGGAGAGAGAAGGCAGUAUAGCAGGAGUGGGGACCAUGGGCAUUUGGCCCAUUUCUGCAUGUAACUUACUUGGGCCUUCGGGGCCUGCCCAAGCCCAAUUACAAAGAUAGCAUUUUCAUUUGAUGAUAGAGUGUUGCUGUGCGUGGCUGACUGUGUGGUUUGGUGGGUCAGAUAACAGUCAGUUCACGAUGGGCAGCUCAGGUCGCAUGAUAAAUUGGUGGCUGAUAGUCAAAGAUUCAGUUUCUACCCAAGGCCUAGCAGAAGGUCAAUGGCUGUUUCUCGAAAGGAGAGUAGUUAUCCAUGGAGGGUGACAGGCCUUGCUCCAAAAUCCUGAAGGCCUGGGACGUGAUUUGUUAUAGAGGCCUGACACAGGCUCUAAACAGCACCCUAUCUGCCACCGACACUUCAAGCCUCACUGGAUCUGCUGGAUCGCAUGGCCCAGUGGCAGAGCAGCUGGCACAGAAGCCUGCACCUAUUGCAGAGCCUUCUCCUGUUCUGGGCCCCACUGAAAACCAGCAGCUUUCCAGUUCACUUGGUAAACGGGCUAGAGUAACACACUCACAUGAGAAGUAUGCUGCCUCCAAAAUCCAACGCAGCUCACUAGCAUCGUGCCGCAUUCUUGGCCGCAGGAGGGGCCGGAUACAACAAUUUAUCCUUCACCUUAGAAGGAAUAUCUUGACAUCCUCCACUCCACUGGACCCCGAGGAAUUUCACUGAGGUAGAAGGUCCCUGAAUUUUAGUUGGAUUUAUUUCUCAUCCUCUGACACACAAAUGUCUUACCAAUAAGUCUGGAACAGUUCUUACUUCCUGCUCACUAGAUCUAAUCAGCAUAACGUCAUCAAUGCAAUGGACCAGGGUGGUACCUUGUGGAAGGGAAAGGUGAUCAAGAUCGCUGCAAAUUAAACUGCAACAGAUUGGAGAGUUGAUAUAACCCUGAGGUAGGACAGGGAAGAUGUAUUGCUGGCCUUGCCAGCUGAAAGAAACUGCUUUAGUGGUCUUUAUUAACAGGUAGAGAGAAAAAGCCAUUUGCCAGAUUAACAGUUGCAUACUAGGUACCAGAGAUGUGUUAAUUUGCUCAAGCAGUGAAACCACAUCUGGCACAGCAGCUUCAACUGGAGUUGCCACUUGGUCAAGCUUAUAAUAAUCCACUGUUACUCUCCAAGAUCCACCCGUCUUCUGCACAGGCCAAAUAGGAGAGUUGAAUUGGGACGUAGUGGGAAUCACCAUCCCCGACAUCCUUCAAGUCCUUGAUGGUGGCACCAUCUCUGCAAUCCUGGCAGGAGUGAGGUAUUGCUUUUGGUUUACUAUUUUCCUAGGUAGAUGCAGUUCUAAUGGCUUCCACUUGGUCUUCCCCACCUUAAUAGCUCCCACUCCAAAGGUCAGAGGACCAAUGUGGAGAUUCUUUCAGCUGCUAAGUAUGUCUAUUCCAAUUAUGCAUUCUAGAACUGGGGAAAAAACCUCAGGAUGGGUUUGGGGACUGACUGGGUCCACUCUGUGAGAUGGACCUGAGUUCAAACUCCAUUGAUUGCUUUACCUCCAUAAGGCCCUACUCUGAUUGGAGGGCCACAAUGAUGUUUUGGGUCUCCUGGAAUCAAUGCCUGUUCACAGCUAGUGUCCAGUAGUUCCUGAAAGGUCUGGAUAUUUUCUUUUCCUCAAUGCAGUUAUUCAGGUAAAAGGCCAUAAGUCCCUUUGGGAAAGGCUAGAUGAAAGAUUAACAGUAUAAAUUUUUUGGUAGUGUACUGGGGUCCUUCCUCAAGGGGACCCAGACUCCCCUUCAUUCAAGGAGCUCUGGUAAACUGGCUCAAGUCUGGGCAUUGAUUGAGGAAUCACGUCUGUGUAUUUUUAUGAUUUGAGUUAGAUUUUUGUUCACUUGACCUAGAACUUUUUGUUUUUUGCUGAGGAAGAUUCAUCCUGAACUAAGGUCUGUUGCCAAUCUUCCUCUUUUUUUGUACGUGAGCCAUUGUGACAACAUGGCCACUGAAGAUGAGUGGUGUAGGUCUGCACCCAGGAACCAAACCUGGGCUGCCAAAGUGGAGCAUGCCAAACUUGACCACUAGGCCACUGGGGCUGGCCGACCUAGAACAUUUUUGCUUAUACAGAUAAAGUAAGAAUUUAGUAGGCUUCCUAUCUAUUUCACAUCUAGGAACGCGAUGACUCGUUAGCCACCUCCAUAGGUCUGUGGGAGUCAGACUAUUCUGACUGGUGCUUUGACCCUGUCCAUUGCAGCAACUAUGCCCACCCUGCCUUUGGUGUUGGGAAGCCAGAAAAGCGCUCCUUCGGGCUUGAAAUGACAAGCCACCAUGAAUUCAACAGGAAAUCAAUUCUGCCAAAAACCCUGUGAGCCCAGAAAAGAACUCAGAUGGAAUCCCAGCCCUGGCCAACACCAUGACUGCAGCCUUGUAAAACCCUGAUCAGGUUUGCAGCUAUGCUAUGCUGGGCCUCUGAAGCGUGGAAACUAUGAAUAAAUAUUGUUGUUUUAACCUGUGAA